CCUGCACAUGGAAGUGUCUCAGAUGUGGCUGCUAUGUCAUAUGUGCAUCCCUAGGUGACGGAGAAGAGGCUAUGCCUGUGCUAAGUAUUCUGACCUAUGAAUAUCUGAAUCAAUAGUAGUCUAACAUU